rnacentral:rRNA from 1 species
AGAGUUUGAUCAUGGCUCAGAACGAACGCUGGCGGCGUGCUUAACACAUGCAAGUCGAACGGGAUCCAGAGCUUGCUCUGGUGAGAGUGGCGCACGGGUGAGUAACGCGUGGAUAACCUGCCCUGGUAUCUGGAAUAACAUCUCGAAAGGGGUGCUAAUACCGGAUAAGCCUACGGAGCCUUCGGUCUCUGCAGGAAAAGGUGGCCUCUAUUUAUAAGCUACCGUAUCAGGAUGGGUCCGCGUACCAUUAGCUAGUUGGUAGGGUAAUGGCCUACCAAGGCUACGAUGGUUAGCUGGUCUGAGAGGAUGAUCAGCCACACUGGAACUGAGACACGGUCCAGACUCCUACGGGAGGCAGCAGUGGGGAAUUUUGCGCAAUGGGGGAAACCCUGACGCAGCAACGCCGCGUGAGUGAUGAAGGCUUUCGGGUCGUAAAGCUCUGUCAGAAGGGAAGAAAUGAGCUUGGCUAAUAUCCAAGUUUCUUGACGGUACCUUCAAAGGAAGCACCGGCUAACUCCGUGCCAGCAGCCGCGGUAAUACGGAGGGUGCAAGCGUUGUUCGGAUUUAUUGGGCGUAAAGCGCGUGUAGGCGGUUUCUUAAGUCUGAUGUGAAAGCCCUGGGCUCAACCCAGGAAGUGCAUUGGAUACUGGGAGACUUGAAUAC